ACAGCCUUUCUUUCUCUGACCCGUAAACUACUAUUUAUCUAUUUCAAAUCUAACAGAUUUCAUUAUGGCGAUAGAUAUAGUCCUUAAAAAUUAUAUUGGAUUCAUUAGCAAAACAUAACUAUACAUUGAAAUUGUAUUGAUAAAAUUUAUAUUAUUACAUGCAACCAAGCAAGAGCGGAUGUACACGUUUUGGUGUGGGUGCGAGUUCCACAUCAGAAUUUGUUUGUCUAUAUAAGU